rnacentral:rRNA from 1 species
GCGCACGGGUGAGUAACACGUAUCCAACCUGCCGAUAACUCGGGGAUAGCCUUUCGGAAGAAAGAUUAAUACCCGAUGGUAUAAUUAGACCGCAUGGUCUUGUUAUUAAAGAAUUUCGGUUAUCGAUGGGGAUGCGUUCCAUUAGGCAGUUGGUGAGGUAACGGCUCACCAAACCUUCGAUGGAUAGGGGUUCUGAGAGGAAGGUCCCCCACAUUGGAACUGAGACACGGUCCAAACUCCUACGGGAGGCAGCAGUGAGGAAUAUUGGUCAAUGGGCGCAGGCCUGAACCAGCCAAGUAGCGUGAAGGAUGACUGCCCUAUGGGUUGUAAACUUCUUUUAUAUGGGAAUAAAGUUUUCCACGUGUGGAAUUUUGUAUGUACCAUAUGAAUAAGGAUCGGCUAACUCCGUGCCAGCAGCCGCGGUAAUACGGAGGAUCCGAGCGUUAUCCGGAUUUAUUGGGUUUAAAGGGAGCGUAGGUGGACAGUUAAGUCAGUUGUGAAAGUUUGCGGCUCAACCGUAAAAUUGCAGUUGAUACUGGCUGUCUUGAGUACAGUAGAGGUGGGCGGAAUUCGUGGUGUAGCGGUGAAAUGCUUAGAUAUCACGAAGAACUCCGAUUGCGAAGGCAGCUCACUGGACUGCAACUGA